GGGCUGCAGUGAGGAAUUUUGCGCAAUGGGGGAAACCCUGACGCAGCAACGCCGCGUGAGUGAAGAAGGUUUUCGGAUCGUAAAGCUCUGUCAAGUGGGAAAAAAUCCCUUUUGUAAAUAGCGGAAGGGUUUGAUGGUACCACUAGAGGAAGCACCGGCUAACUCCGUGCCAGCAGCCGCGGUAAUACGGAGGGUGCAAGCGUUGUUCGGAAUUAUUGGGCGUAAAGGGCGUGUAGGCGGCUUGGUAAGUCAGAUGUGAAAGCCCUGGGCUCAACCCAGGAAGUGCAUUUGAUACUGCCAUGCUUGAGUAUGGGAGAGGAGAGUGGAAUUCCCAGUGUAGAGGUGAAAUUCGUAGAUAUUGGGAGGAACACCCGUGGCGAAGGCGACUCUCUGGACCAAUACUGACGCUGAGACGCGAAAGCGUGGGGAGCAAACAGGAUUAGAUACCCCUGUAGUC
rnacentral:rRNA from 1 species